rnacentral:lncRNA from 1 species
UGUCACUGGAGGCAAUCAGACAGUGUACAUGUCCUGGGGAGGCGGGGUCUCAGAUCCCGGGAGGAGCCAUCAUCCCAUUUUUCCUCCCAAGCACUGGAGCUUGGUUCCUGAGGGUUUGCAGGAGAGGCACACCCCCUCCUCCCAUUUUCUAUAGUGGAAUGAUGCUUCUGACCCACCUUGAAGGGCUGGACCAAGGCAUCCGGUCAAAGUGCCCCCUGGAGAAGAGAAGAGCUGUACAUGCCCCAUGGCAUAUAAGCCUCAUGGCAGCAGAGACCAGGUUGGCGCUUGGUACAUUGACUCCAUUCGUGGUUGCUGACCGAGGCGCAGAGCAGUAAAAGGUGUGUGUGUGUGGUGGGGGGCGGGGGGCAUGUCUUCAAGUCACGUGGCUGGCAAGUGAGGCUUCUUCUGAUGUCCUGAGUGGCCUGGCACUGGGGUGAGUGCCCAGGAAUGUAAUGAGCGCCCCACCCCCGGGGGCAUUCAAGCUCAUAGGCUGGACUUGGGAGAAGGUUCUGUAAGCAGGAGGCUAAACUGGAUGACUCCAAAAUAUUCCCAAAGAGCUUGGAACAUGGGCCAUGUGCACAUGUGUGUGUGUGAGCGUGC